rnacentral:lncRNA from 13 species
ACGAAGAGGAAGCUCACAGGCCAGGCUGGCUAUGUGGUUGUGCUUGAGGUUCACUAACUGUAACUCUCCCCUAUGAGCUGUAAUGAAACUGAGUCCAAAGUGCAUUUGGAUAUUUUUUUAACUCAAUUGAAAUGCUAAGUCAGAACACUUACUGCACACUGGAGUAGGUUUGAUACCAUUAUUAGAUAUAGUGUAUAGAAGAUAACAUCUACCUUUCUUAGUUGUCCCUCUCUUUCUUUCACACUCACUCACUCUUUCUCAUCUCACGGUAGAAACCCAGCUCUGAAUGCAGCCCGCUGUGGUUUUCUGCAGAGGCUCAGUGUGUCUCUUCUGUCCCAACCAGACCCUGCAGCCAGCAUCCUCCCACAAGGCUGCUCUCUGACUCCACGGUGUUCUCCUGUGUGGGGACUCUGCUGUGCUCGGUGCAGGAGCAGGGAGACUCGGCCCUGCCUCCCUGUGUGCUCAGGUCUGCCCUCUACCUGCUGUCUGUCACACAGGACAAGAGCCCCGACCUGGACUGGGUAAGUCAACUCAUUUCAAUACGAUGAUAAUAGUGGGCUGCUGGCGCUCUAACAACAUGUAAUACAUUGCAGAAGGGUUGUUCAUUCCUUGGAGUAUUUAACUGAAGUUGUAGUCUAUGAAAUAGAAUCCCACUUUGGUGCAAAAGGCUCCAACUAACACUCUUCAUUCUUGGAACUCGGUUAUGGAGUUACAUCAACUAUAUAUGCCUUUAUUUUUGAAAGCUGGGUAAUAAUGAUACCGAAAGAGAGAGUUUUCCCUUUUAUGUCCACAACAGUGCUAACACAACUCUAGUCCUCAACCCUUUGACGCGUACGAUCACGUAUUUGUGAUCGUUGAUGAGUGCUCCCUGCAGCGUACGAUCUCAAAUAUGUGAUUGGAACAGUAGCAACAGAACGUAUGACGCAACAAACGCAUCUUAACGGCAUUGUCCUCUGAACAGCAUCUAAAUAUUUGAUGGUACUGAUGGAAAAUAAACGUCUUAAACUUUAUUCCUCAAUUUGACCUUUUAUUGUAAAAGAUGAAUGCAAACUUCAUCAUCCAAUCAUCACACGGAACACAUCCACAGCCAAACUCAUUCCAUAAACCAGUC